AAAAUCAGUACUUUUUUGGAAUUUCAAGUCAAGCACACAAAAUCAAAACAAAAAAAACGUAUAAGAAAUGAAAAUAAGCUUUCUUUUAGUUCUUCCAAGAUGUUAAAAGGAUGGGAUUCUGUUCGAAACAGAAAAGCCUGUGACAAAUUUUUAGAUGGCUCGACGUGGAAAAAAAUCUGCAACGAUAAAUACUACAAUGAAGUUCUAAUACGUUACAAAGGACAAUUGGUGAAAAAGGGUGAACCCUAUACGUUCGCGACUGCAACUUGCUGAAAGUGACCAGUAUGAAUAAGUUUCAGUGCAUGAAUACGAUGGGUCAGAAAUUAAAGGACAUAACUACGAAGCAAAGUCUUUUGGCUUGUUUGCCCUACAGGUUUCACUUAGCUGAAGAAUUGUACUAUCAUUGCGUUAGUGAAGAAGCGCCCAAGGAGAUGCCCCAAAGCACAAUCAUGGGCGAUGAAAAUCAUUCUACGAUACUCUACUAUGCCAAUAUUUCAAAAAGGUUGAAUGAACUUCGUCAUGUGACAAAUAAUCGUUUAAAUGAAGCAGAAGAUUUUGACGGAGAGCCUACAGAUAAAGCUUCUGUAUAUUCCACAAGCAUGAUUAUUUUAAUACUUUCGGCAUUACUCUUAAUAUUCAUGUUCUAUAGGAUUUAGUCUUUGGCUGUAAAAUAACAAGAAUCUUUGGGCUUUAAGUGAAAUAUAACGUGCAGUUUGACGAUUUAA
rnacentral:sRNA from 1 species